CUUGAGAGUCCUGAAGGAACGUUGAAGACGACGACGUUGAUAGGCCGGGUGUGUAAGCGCAGCGAUGCGUUGAGCUAACCGGUACUAAUGAACCGUGAGGCUUAACCUU
rnacentral:rRNA from 2 species